rnacentral:rRNA from 1 species
GACUCCUACGGGAGGCAGCAGUGGGGAAUUUUGGACAAUGGACGAAAGUCUGAUCCAGCCAUUCCGCGUGCAGGACGAAGGCCUUCGGGUUGUAAACUGCUUUUGUACGGAACGAAAAAGUCUCUAUUAAUACUAGGGGCCCAUGACAAUACCGUAAGAAUAAGCACCGGCUAA